GCUCCCAUAGCUCAAUGGUAGAGCGUGGUCCUUAUAAGGCCGUGACCUGGGUCCAAUUCCCGGUGGGAGCA
rnacentral:tRNA from 1 species